rnacentral:rRNA from 1 species
UGGGGAAUCUUGCACAAUGGGCGAAAGCCUGAUGCAGCAACGCCGCGUGCGGGAAGACAGCCCUAGGGUUGUAAACCGCUUUCAGCAGGGAAGAAACUGACGGUACCUGCAGAAGAAGAUGCGGCCAACUACGUGCCAGCAGCCGCGGUGACACGUAGGCAUCAAGCGUUAUCCGGAUUUAUUGGGCGUAAAGAGCUCGUAGGCGGUUCGGUAAGUCGGGUGUGAAACUCUGGGCUCAACCCAGAGAGGCCACUCGAUACUGCUGUGACUAGAGUGCGGUAGGGGAGCGGGGAAUUCCUGGUGUAGCGGUGAAAUGCGCAGAUAUCAGGAGGAACACCAGUGGCGAAGGCGCCGCUCUGGGCCGUAACUGACGCUGAGGAGCGAAAGCAUGGGUAGCAAACAGGAUUAGAUACCCUGGUAGUCCACACCGUAAACGAUGAAUGUUAGCCGUC